GCGGUACCGGUUCACGCCCGUAAAGGCGACCCGGCGACC
rnacentral:ncRNA from 1 species